CUCCAUAUUCCUCAGUUCCUACUGUGUCUUUCACGGUAGAGGCUACACUAUCAAAGCCUUUCACUGCAGAGUUAACAAACCAAACGACUGCAGAGUUUCAAGAACUGCAAACAACUGUUGUGACAUCUUGCGAUGCGAUCUUCCAGGAGGCCUAUGGGUCGGUUUUCAUCACCACUAUUGUCCUUGGAUUCAGCCCGUCCAUCGAUGGAAACACUACAAUAGAGGUGGAGCUUGUUUUCAAUAACACAGCAUCACCUGAAGUGACCGUUUCAACUGCCGAUGUACUGGAGACCAUGACGACGGCAGCAACCAACACCUCCGCUGGCGGAUUCUCCUUUGAUCCUGAAUCUAUUGUUGUCACAGAAACGCCAACCUCAACGACAGCACCAACAACAACUACGGCAACUCCAGAACCCUCAGUUCCUACUGUGUCUUUCACGGUAGAGGCUACAAUAAUAAAGCCUUUCACUGCA